rnacentral:rRNA from 1 species
UACGAAGGGGGCUAGCGUUGUUCGGAUUUACUGGGCGUAAAGGGCGCGUAGGCGGCGUGUCAAGUCAAUUGUGAAAUCUCCGAGCUUAACUCGGAACGGUCAAUUGAUACUGAUGUGCUAGAGUGCAGAAGGGGCAAUCGGAAUUCUUGGUGUAGCGGUGAAAUGCGUAGAUAUCAAGAGGAACACCUGAGGUGAAGACGGGUUGCUGGGCUGACACUGACGCUGAGGCGCGAAAGCUAGGGUAGCAAACGGG